rnacentral:rRNA from 1 species
GAUGAACGCUAGCGGCAGGCCUAACACAUGCAAGUCGAGGGGUAGAGGAAGCUUGCUUCCUUGAGACCGGCGCACGGGUGCAUAACGCGUAUGCAAUCUACCUUAUACAGAGGGAUAGCCCAGAGAAAUUUGGAUUAAUACCUUAUAGUAUUAUGAAAUCGCAUGGUUUUAUAAUUAAAGUUCCAACGGUAUAAGAUGAGCAUGCGUCCCAUUAGUUAGUUGGUAAGGUAACGGCUUACCAAGACAAUGAUGGGUAGGGGUCCUGAGAGGGAGAUCCCCCACACUGGUACUGAGACACGGACCAGACUCCUACGGGAGGCAGCAGUGAGGAAUAUUGGUCAAUGGACGCAAGUCUGAACCAGCCAUGCCGCGUGCAGGAUGGCGGUCCUAUGGAUUGUAAACUGCUUUUAUACAGGAAGAAACACUCCCUCGUGAGGGAGCUUGACGGUACUGUAGGAAUAAGGAUCGGCUAACUCCGUGCCAGCCGCCGCAGUAAAAC